UUUAAAACCUUGCCCAGGGGCACCUGGGUGGCUCAGUGGGUUAAGCCUCUGCCUUCGGAUCAGGUCAUGAUUCCAGGGUCCUGGGAUCGAGUCCCACAUCAGGCUCUCUGCUCAGCAGGGAGCCUGCUUCCUUUUCUCUCUCUGCCUGUCUCUCUGCCUACUUGUGAUCUGUUAAAUAAAUAAAAUCUUUUAAAAAAACAAAAACCGAAAAACAUAAAACCUUGUUCUUCAGAUGCAGUUCCCCAACCAGCAUCCUGCCUCGCCUGGGAGACAGGGGAAAAGCAUAGACCUUGGCUCCUCCUCAGAGCAGCCACGGCAGAACCUGCAUGUUCACAAGAUCCUGGGAGAAGGUGACAAGCUCUGGAUGUGUAGACGGUAUCUGUGAGGAAGCCGCAGAUCAGAG
rnacentral:lncRNA from 1 species